GAUAUAUUAAUGCGGUCAUACUGCGUUUUUAAAAAGAAAAGCAACACGGCUGCAGCAGCGAAAGAACGCAAGUCGGCGUGGGAGAAGAUUACUGCUCGAGUCAAUGCAUGUAAUCCCACCGGCGAAAAAAGAACGUGGAAGCAGCUGAAGAUGAAAUAUAAAAACAUUGUUCAAACAGCCAACAGAAAGCGGGCAUCUGCCCGCAAAACUGGCGGAGGACCACCCCCACCACGUCUGACCGAGGCAGAGGAGCUGGCCAUGAGUCAGACUGUCGGGAGGCCAGUCACAGAGGGGAUCCCUGGAGGAACCUCAUCCUCGGACAUGAUUACACAGGAGCCACCAGCCUUGAUAAGAUGCAAUAUGCCUAGGUCUCAAACUUCUUUUGGGCCUAUAUUUCAAUGUUAAUUUCCCUUUCAUGUGUUUUUCUUUUGUCUCAACAGAUUCUGAAGGCGUACUUGGUCUAGUGGAUCCAUGUGCCACUUUAACUGAUGAUGAAGAUGAUGGGACCACAAUGUCUGCUGCCUUCUCUGUGGUGUCUGAGAGGGAGCCUGAGAGGCCUACAGAGGUAACUCCAGCCUGUUUCACAGAGAGAGGUAACUUAACCUCGGUGUCAGUUACUAUGGCAACAGACUCUGUGAACAUAACCUGGUCGGGACCGGGUUUUCUUCAAUGAAC